rnacentral:lncRNA from 1 species
GUCAUGAACGAAAAGGCAAAUCAACGCGAUAAUGGCUAGGAACCUUCAAACGAUGUCGACGUCGAACAAAUCAAAAGACACAAGAAAUUCGGUAACGACGACCUAAUACAAAAAUGAACAAGGAACCUUCGGACAACAUCGACAUCGAACGAGACAAAAAAUGAAAGAAGUCCGACGAACGACAAUUCAACACAACGCGCGGCCA